rnacentral:rRNA from 1 species
UACGUAGGGUGCGAGCGUUGUCCGGAAUUAUUGGGCGUAAAGAGCUUGUAGGCGGUUUGUCGCGUCUGCUGUGAAAAUCCGGGGCUCAACCCCGGACUUGCAGUGGGUACGGGCAGACUAGAGUGUGGUAGGGGAGACUGGAAUUCCCGGUGUAGUGGUGAAAUGCGUAGAUAUCGGGAGGAACACCAGUGGCGAAGGCGACUACCUGGCCUGUUUCUUGACGCUGAGGCGCGAAAGCUAGGGGAGCAAACGGG